UACGUAGGGAGCAAGCGUUGUCCGGAAUCAUUGGGCGUAAAGCGCGCGUAGGUGGCCUCAUAAGUCCGCUGUGAAAGUCAAAAGGCUCAACCUUUGAAAGCCGGUGGAUACUGUGAGGCUAGAGUACGGAAGAGGCGAGUGGAAUUCCUGGUGUAGCGGUGGAAUGCGCAGAUAUCAGGAGGAACACCAAUAGCGAAGGCAGCUCGCUGGGACGUUACUGACACUGAGGCGCGAAAGCGUGGGGAGCGAACAGG
rnacentral:rRNA from 1 species